rnacentral:misc_RNA from 1 species
GCCAAGACCAUAGGUCCAUAACGGAGCUCCCACUAUAAACAGACGAUUCAUGUCCUGGGGACUCAUGCCCAUCACUCGCACAAUCUUUCUUUUUUGCAGAGAAAAACAAAAGCCAUCCUGAGACAUUAUUGCUGCUCGUUCGUUCUUAUCUCCUCUUUCCAGUAAUUAAAACCAUAUCCUUUUUGGUGGAUCGAAUAAAGUCGAAAUAAUGGGCGCUCUUGAUCAUUUUUCUAAUCUCUUUGACUGUUCUCAUGGCAGUUCCAAGCUCAAGAAACGCAAGCAAUUGCAGACAGUGGAGGUCAAGGUUCGAAUUGAUUGCGAAGGUUGCGAGCGCAAGGUGAGGAGAGCGGUGGAGGGAAUGAAAGGCGUAAAACAAGUGGAUGUGGAACGUAAAGCAAACAAGCUGACAGUCGUUGGAUAUGUUGAACCAUCAAAGGUUGUGGCCCGCGUGGCUCAUCGGACGGGCAAGAAGGCAGAACUAUGGCCAUACGUGCCAUAUGACGUGGUGGCGCACCCAUACGCACCUGGGGUCUAUGACAAGAAGGCCCCAGCUGGGUACGUGAGAAGGGCUGAGGACCCACAAGUGUCCCAGCUGGCACGCGCGAGCUCCACUGAAGUUCGAUACACCACUGCUUUUAGCGAUGAGAAUCCACAAGCAUGUUCUAUCAUGUGAUCGACUGCGAUAAGAUAAAAAUUAUUGGGUGUUGUUAAUUAAUUUGGAAUUUAGGGUUAAUUCUUAUAGGUUUGGUGAUUUUGCUUUUUUGUAUGGGUGUUUUU